CGAACGCUGGCGGCGUGCCUAACACAUGCAAGUCGAACGGAGAUAUCAAUGAAGCUUGCGAUUUGAUAUUUUAGUGGCGGACGGGUGAGUAACGCGUGGGUAAUCUGCCCAUAAGUGGGGAACAACAGUUGGAAACGACUGCUAAUACCGCAUACGCUACCGCAAGGUAGGAAAGGUGGCCUCUGAAUAUGCUGCCGCUUAUGGAUGAGCCCGCGUCUGAUUAGCUAGUUGGUGGGGUAAAGGCCUACCAAGGCGACGAUCAGUAGCCGGCCUGAGAGGGUGAACGGCCACACUGGGACUGAGACACGGCCCAGACUCCUACGGGAGGCAGCAGUGGGGAAUAUUGCGCAAUGGGGGAAACCCUGACGCAGCGACGCCGCGUGAGCGAUGAAGGCCUUAGGGUUGUAAAGCUCUGUUUUAAGGGACGAAUGUUACGGGGAGUAAUAUGCCCUGUAAAUGACGGUACCUUAAGAGGAAGCCCCGGCUAACUACGUGCCAGCAGCCGCGGUAA
rnacentral:rRNA from 1 species